GACGAACGCUGGCGGCGUGCUUAACACAUGCAAGUCGAACGGAAAGGCCCUGCUUUUGUGGGGUGCUCGAGUGGCGAACGGGUGAGUAACACGUGAGUAACCUGCCCUUGACUUUGGGAUAACUUCAGGAAACUGGGGCUAAUACCGGAUAGGAGCUCCUGCUGCAUGGUGGGGGUUGGAAAGUUUCGGCGGUUGGGGAUGGACUCGCGGCUUAUCAGCUUGUUGGUGGGGUAGUGGCUUACCAAGGCUUUGACGGGAAGCCGGCCUGAGAGGGUGACCGGCCAAAUGGGGCUUGGGAUCCGGCCCGGACCCUUACGGGGGCAAGAGGUGGGAAUAAUUCACCAAGGGCGGAAGCCUGAUGCAGCAACGCCGCGUGCGGGAUGACGGCCUUCGGGUUGUAAACCGCUUUCGCCUGUGACGAAGCGUGAGUGACGGUAAUGGGUAAAGAAGCACCGGCUAACUACGUG
rnacentral:rRNA from 1 species